CGCUAGUAUUGAGGAACAACCAGUAACCCUUGUCACGUCAGUUGCGAGUGUCGAUAGACAUGGAGAUUGAACACGAAGAAUCACCGGUACCACCACCAGAAGAAGAAGAAGCGAAGGAGCCACCGAGAAUCCAGCGGCUGAGCGAGUCAGUGGUGAACCGAAUAGCGGCUGGGGAGGUUAUCCAGCGUCCUGUUUCUGCAGUGAAGGAGCUGGUCGAGAACAGCCUCGACGCCCACUCCACCUCCAUCAACCUCCUCGUGAAGGACGGCGGCCUCAAGCUCAUCCAAGUCUCCGACGACGGCCACGGAAUUAGAUUGGAGGACCUGCCAAUAUUGUGCGAGAGGCACACGACCUCCAAGUUGUCUGCGUUCGAGGACUUGCAGUCCAUAAAGUCCAUGGGCUUCCGUGGAGAGGCCCUCGCUAGCAUGACCUACGUCGCCCAUGUCACCGUCACCACCAUCACCAAAGGCCAGCUGCAUGGUUACAGGGUCUCCUAUAGAGAUGGUCUCAUGGAGAAUGAACCCAGGCCUUGUGCCGCCGUUAAAGGAACACAGAUUAUGGUGGAGAAUCUUUUCUACAACAUGGCUGCAAGGAGGAAGACAUUACAAAACGCUUCUGAUGAUUAUUCUAAGAUUGUCGACUUAAUAAGUCGGUUUGCUAUUCAGCACAUUAAUGUCAGUUUUUCUUGCAGAAAGCAUGGAGCUACUAGAGCAGAUGUCCACACAGUUGCCACAUCUUCUAGACUUGAUGCCAUCAGAUCUGUUUAUGGCAUCUCUGUUGCACGCAAUCUGAUGAAAAUUGAAGCUUCAGACAACAAUCCAGCUACUUCAAUUUUUGAAAUGCAGGGUUACAUGUCCAAUGCAAAUUAUGCUUCCAAGAAAAUCACUAUGGUGCUUUUUAUCAAUGAUAGAUUGGUUGAAUGCUCAGCAUUGAAGAGAGCUAUUGAAAUUGUUUAUGCAGCAACAUUGCCAAAAGCAUCUAAACCUUUUAUAUAUAUUUCAAUUGUUUUACCACCUGAAAAUGUUGAUGUCAAUGUGCAUCCGACAAAGAGAGAGGUCAGCCUUUUAAACCAGGAAGUUAUCAUUGAGAAGAUACAGUCAGUGAUUGAAUCAAGAUUGAGGAGUUCCAAUGAGACAAGGACAUACCAAGAACAGGCAGCUGAUCAAUGUUCUCUGUCUCGUAUUACUAGCAAGGAGGCUAACCUCAUCCCUUUGCCAAUGGGUAUAAGAAAUUCUUCUUCUUUCUUUUUAGGUUCAAGAUCACAGAAGGUUCCAGUGCAUAAGUUGGUUAGAACAGAUUCAUUAGAUCCUGCAGGAAGAUUACAUGCCUACAUCCAAACCAAGCUUGAUGGACAUCUUGAAAAGAGAGCUACUUUGAAUGCAGUAAGGAACUCAAUUCGACAAAGAAGGAACCCAAAAGAUUCUACAGAUCUAACUAGCGUCCAACAGCUUCUUGAUGAUAUCAAUAGCAACUGUCACCCAAGCAUGAUGGACAUUGUAAGGCACUGUACAUAUGUUGGAAUGGCAGAUGAUGUUUUCGCUUUGCUGCAGCAUAAUACUCAUCUUUAUCUUGCUAAUGUUGUAAACUUGAGCAAAGAGCUUAUGUAUCAGCAAGUUCUUAGCCGUUUUGGCCAAUUCAAUGCUAUACAACUAAGUGAUCCAGCCCCCUUGAAAGACUUGAUUAUCUUGGCACUGAAGGAAGAGGAUUUAGUUUCAGAAUGUAAUGAUGAUGACAACUUGAAGAUGAACACAGAACUGCUGAAACAAAAGGCUGAAAUGUUGGACGAGUAUUUUGGAAUUCAUAUUGACAAACAUGGAAACAUUUCUAGACUUCCUGUGAUACUUGACCAGUAUACACCUGACAUGGAUCACAUCCCUGAGUUUGCUCUUUGCUUAGGCAAUGAUGUUAAUUGGGAAGAUGAAAGGAAUUGCAUUCAGGCAGUUGCAGCUGCUCUGGGAAAUUUCUAUGCAAUGCAUCCACCAAUGUUACCCAAUCCAUCUGGCAAGGGUUUGCUUUUUUAUAAGAAGAGGAAAAUGCUCGAUAGUUGUGCGGAGGGGAAUACCUGUGAUGUUGUUGGGAGUGACGUGAUCAAUGAUAAAGUUGAGCAAGAACUGCUUUCUGAAGCUGAGACUGCAUGGACACAGCGUGAAUGGUCAAUACAACAUGUGCUUUUUCCUUCCAUGAGACUCUUUCUAAAACCACCUGUCUCUAUGGCUACAGAUGGAACCUUUGUUCGGGUAGCUUCAUUGGAGAAACUAUACAAGAUUUUUGAAAGAUGCUAGGCAACCAUAUGGAUUGUUGCUCUCUGCGAUAUCCUCUUUAAUAUUGUGCUCUUGUGAAUAUGUAACUAUAGUAUUCAGGGAGCUCGUCUCAAAGAUUUCCUUAGGGAGCUCGUCUCAAAGAUUUCCUUGCUAGCCAGCCAAGAACGAACGAUUCUGACAUCCUGCUUUGUGGUCAUUCUUCGAGCAGCCAAUCCUAAUGUUGGAUAAAUACUUCCGGUUUUGUUAUGCAGCUAACGUUUACCAUUGAAUUUUGUUGAUAUAUAUAAGGAUUGACCAAGGAUUCCUUUGUUUGAAGUAAGGAACUUUCUUAGAAUGUAAAAUGUAAAUAUAAUAUCCCAUCACACACCGUGUAAUGUACAAAAAUCAAUUGCUUU